rnacentral:rRNA from 1 species
UACGUAGGGUGCAAGCGUUAAUCGGAAUUCCUGGGCGUAAAGCGUGCGCAGGCGGUGAUGUAAGACAGUUGUGAAAUCCCCGGGCUCAACCUGGGAACUGCAUCUGUGACUGCAUCGCUGGAGUGCGGCAGAGGGGGAUGGAAUUCCGCGUGUAGCAGUGAAAUGCGUAGAUAUGCGGAGGAACACCGAUGGCGAAGGCAAUCCCCUGGGCCUGCACUGACGCUCAUGCACGAAAGCGUGGGGAGCAAACAGG